AUUGAACGCUAGCGGGAUGCUUUACACAUGCAAGUCGAACGAGUGGCGGACGGGUGAGUAAUAUAUCGGAACGUGCCCAGUAGAGGGGGAUAACUACGCGAAAGAGUGGCUAAUACCGCAUACUAUCGGAGAGGCCGAUAUCGGAUUAUCUAGUUGGUGGGGGAAAGGCGAACCAAGGCAACGAUCCCUAGCUGGUUUGAGAGGAGGACCAGCCAAACGGGGACGGAGACACGGCCCAGACUCAUACGGGAGGCAGCAGUGGGGAAUGUUGGACAAUGGGGGAAACCCUGAGCCAGCCAUCCCGCGUGUAUGAGAAGGCCUUCGGGUUGGAAAGUACUUUUGGCAGAGAGGCGGUAUCUGCAGAAUAAGCACCGGCUAACUACGUGCCAGCCGCCGCGGUAAUAC
rnacentral:rRNA from 1 species